UGAAGAAAUAGAAGAUCACCGCCUCAGACAGCAGAGCUUGGAUGGAUCAGAUGACGGAGGAGAUAUUCCUGUUAUUCCGGAUCUGGAAGAAGUACAGGAAGAAGACUUCGCUUUGCAGGUGGCAGCCCCCCCCAG